CCUAAACGCACCUUAGAUUGUUAAAAUAGGGCCCGUUCGUGUUAGGUAAUCGUGCCUUCAGUUUGUUUGUUUUUUCCAUUAUCAAGGUACAGGCUACAUUGCCCACUAUGUGGAGCUCUUGUUCUAUAUUUCUGCAGUGAGUAUCUGGAGGGUAUGAACAUCUAAUUUUGGCAGAGUGUAGCUCUGAAUGUCAGUUUUCAUGUUGGUUUCUGUAAACAUUUUAAUGGAAGCAGAGUCUCAUUCUGACCUGAGCUGACCUAUGACCGCUGUACAGUACAGAAUGGCUUUAAGGUCACAAGUGUGUGUGCACCACACACAGCCUGAGGGAUUUUCUCUGUCAAGUCUAUCCAGUCAAUUGUCGUGUGGUAACAGAGCUUUCAGUAACAACACAGCAUAUAUUUUUGUAUGGUUUUGAUGACAGGAUCCUGGCCUUCAAACGUUGAGCUUACUCUCCUUUUGACUGGAUCAUGAAAUAAAGUCUUGCAUUCAGCAGCAGGCCAAUUUAAUAAGCCAAAGUGUUUGUAAUGAUUCUGUUUCGGCUUGCCACAAUGUUGGCCAUGCAGCAACUCAGUGAGCUGUACUGCAUGUGUUAUGUGUGUGUUGCUUCGCAGUCAUUACAUAAACCAAAGCACUUGCCAUACCAUAGGAGCAGCUGCAGAAGGAAUCUGGGAAUACAUAACACACGUUUCAAAACUCAUGGAGCAGUAAAGAGGAUGGAGGUCGGAGCUUUGGAUUGUGUCCUGGUUGUGACCUUUUUAAAGAUUGUUUUCCCCCGGGGCUUUGAAUUUUUUAAUCAUCUACACAGAUGCUCACAGUUGAGGCAAUCAUUGCACUGUUCUCUGUCAUGGAGCAGCUCCGUUGGGGGUUUAGUUUUUUCCUCAAGGGUACCUUGACAGUUUGGAGCAAAUUUUUUUUGUACAGAGAUUCAAAGUGGAGACUACUUUGUCUGUCUGUCUCUGGAACUAUUGUAUUCUUACCCACUCAAAGGUGCCUACACAAAGGAGCUUCUGCAGGGAGCGAUUGUAGUUUGCUGUUCCUCACCAUCUCACCUCUUCCAUCACUAGAGGUUUUAAGUUUGAAUUACACAAUUCUUGUCAUCUUUUCACACUCAAAUCUGUCUUUGUCUGAGCAACAAAAAGUGUCCCUAUUGCAACCAUCGGCUUAUUGUUGCAUCCUGAGGCAGCAGCAGGAGUCUGGGGCAGGGUGACCUGCAUGGCUGCUAACUAGUCUGCAGUGUGUACUUGGUUAAGACACUGAGGUCGUAGAGAGCAAUAUGGAUCAAAUCCUCAAUUGAAGUUUAUGUAAUUUUAUGUCGUGAUAUAUCGAUACAAGUCAAGAUAUAGUACAUUUUCUGAAAAAAUCAAUUAAGAAUUUAGUUUGUGGAAAAAAUAACCAGACAGGAAAGUCUGUUUUUAAUUUGUACCUGAAGAAUCAAGGUGCUUAAUUACAUUUAUAUUUGAUGUAACCUUUAUUUAUCCUGUUCACACUUGUUUUUACUGCAACAGUUUGGGAGAAUAAUGGCAGAUGGAGGGAGUGAUACACAUCCAGUGGUGCUACUGGCCACUAAGCUUGGUCAGUCUAAGAGGAAAGGUUAUGAUUUAUGUUCAUCUGGUUAUGCACCCCAAGGUUGUUGGGACAUACUGUACUGUAAAAUCUAUCA